rnacentral:rRNA from 1 species
GACGAACGCUGGCGGCGUGCUUAACACAUGCAAGUCGAACGGAUGCCUUUUUGGUAGCAAUACCACUGAGGUGUUAGUGGCGAACGGGUGAGUAACACGUGAGCAACCUGCCCUGAAGACGGGGAUAACAGUCGGAAACGACUGCUAAUACCCGAUACCUCUGCCGGUCCGCAUGAACUGGCAAAGAAAUGGAUUCCGCUUCAGGAGGGGCUCGCGGCCUAUCAGCUUGUUGGUGAGGUAACGGCUCACCAAGGCUUCAACGGGUAGCUGGUCUGAGAGGAUGAUAAGCCACACUGGGACUGAGACACGGCCCAGACUCCUACGGGAGGCAGCGGUGGGGAAUCUUGCGCAAUGGGCGAAAGCCUGACGCAGCAACGCCGCGUGGGGGACGAAGGCUCUCGGGUUGUAAACCCCUUUCGACAGGAACGAAAUUGACGGUACCUGGAGAAGAAGCCCCGGCUAACUACGUGCCAGCCGCCGCCGUAAUAC